GACGAACGCUGGCGGCGUGCCUAACACAUGCAAGUCGAGCGAGAUCCAUCCAGUGGCAACACUGGUGAAGAUCUAGCGGCGAACGGGUGAGUAACACGUGAGAAACCUGCCCCGGAGACCGGGAUAACCCGAGGAAACCCGGGCUAAUACCGGAUACCCCCACCGAACCGCAUGAAUUGGUGAGGAAAUGCUCCGGCGCUCCGGGAGGGUCUCGCGGCCUAUCAGCUCGUUGGUGAGGUAACGGCUCACCAAGGCUAAGACGGGUAGCUGGUCUGAGAGGACGAUCAGCCACACUGGGACUGAGACACGGCCCAGACUCCUACGGGAGGCAGCAGUGGGGAAUCUUGCGCAAUGGGCGAAAGCCUGACGCAGCAACGCCGCGUGGGGGAUGAAGGCUCUCGGGUUGUAAACCCCUUUCAGGAGGGACGAAAAUGACGGUACCUCCAGAAGAAGCCCCGGCCAACUACGUGCCAGCCGCCGCCGUAACAC
rnacentral:rRNA from 1 species